UCAAAGACAAUACAUCCAUGCUCUUAACAGAUGGUUGAAGCUAAAUCUCAUACCGAUUGGGAGCAGCUUAAAAGACAAAAGCUCAUCCCCUCCGAGAGUUCAGGCGCCCCCUAUCCAACAGCUUCUUCAUUCUUGGCACGAUCACCUUGAAAAGCUUCCCGAUGAAGUUGCCAAAAGCGCAAUUGCCUCCUUUGCUGCUGUGAUAAAGACAAUUAUUGAUCACCGGGAGGAAGAAAUGAAGUUCAAGGAAAAGUACGAAGAAACCAGAAAGGAGUACCUACGUAAAAAACAGGCAUUCGAUGAGUGGCAUCAGAAAUACAUGCAGCGCAGAACUCCACAUGAGGAGACUGACCCUGAGAAUGGCAUAGAAACGAAUGUCAAGGAUCCAGUAGCCGAAAAACAGUUUGUGGUUGAGAGCUUGAAAAGGAGAUGGGAAGAUGAAUGCGAAGAUCACCAGAAACACUGUAUUCAAGUGAGGGAAAAGUCACUCGUAAGUCUCAAAAGCCGGCUUCCCGAGCUUUUCCGAGCCUUAUCAGGCUAUGCUCGUGCGUGUUCCGAUGCUUACGAGAAACUGAGGUUGCUUACGCAAUCGCAGCAGUCAAAUAGGGGUUUAUAAGCUUUCAUGUUAUAUUUAACGUAGGGAACUAUAGUUUUUCAACAAUGAGAUUGUUUUCAAACAUUGCCGUUUUUGCAAUAUUUGUUGCCAGUCCAUUUGGCUCUUGUCGUGCACUGAAAUUCCUUGAGAAAGAUUUUGCAAGCUCGCAGAAAAUCAAACUUCUAAGUUAUUUUGUUGAAAUGCGAUGGUUUUCCUAAAAGUCUUGACUUACUUUAACUUAUAAGCACGGUCAAACAUGUUUAUAUAGUGUAUUCUAUGUGUUUGUGUUCUUGCUCUAUUAUUCACUUGUGUUUUACACUUUUACUAUUAGGGUUCGAUACAACAAAUUUUCCAUGGAAUUAGGAAAUUAAAUUUCAUUUUCCACCUUUUUUGCAUUCUAAUUGGCCAAAUUUUCCUGGAAUCGGUUUACUUGGCACAACCCAUUUUCUACCUUUUUGAGGAAAAUGUUUUCGGUUUGGAGGUUUUUGGUUUUCCAGCAUUUUUUAUUUUUUUUAUUUUUUUUGCAAUUGAAACAAAUUUUAUCAUUUUAUCCCUUUAAUUGACAAUUUCCGUGAAAAAGGCAAACAAGCACCAAAAGAUCCAAAAUUUCAAUAUUUUUUAUAAAGGAUUUGAAAUUAUGUGGGGAGGCAGCUGACCCCAUACUAAAAAACCCGCCUGUUGCUGUAGAUCUCAUGAUUUCACCAGUUUUCGUCUCAUAGAAGAUUUCAGUUUCCAUACAACUGUUAAUAUUUUUGCCAUAUCUCUAUGUUACAAAUUAAUGUGAAAAACUGUAACAAUCUGAUAGAUCAGCUGUCAGCCAUCUAACAAAUUGAUUGAUAAUACCAUUUAUUUUCAGGCCGCAUUGACCAUGCAGCAAGAGUCAUGCAAGUUAUUACAUGGAACAACUCUUUUAGAGGUGUACCUAACGGUGAUGGAUCCACAGAUAACUUCGAGGCUGAAGAAUAUGAGACACAUGCCACAAUUUUGGAUAAAUUGCUAGCGUGGGAGAAAAAACUAUAUGAAGAAGUGAAGGUGCAUUGCAUCCUUUUCUUUUAGUUAUUUGCACUUCAUUUGCAAUUUAUUCAUGUUCUUUUUUGAAUUUAGUAGUGGGUAAAUUUUCAAAUUGGCCUUAUUUUAAUGGUUAAAAUGAAAAACAGCCUUCUCUCAAUUUUUGGUUUAAAAGGCUUUAGUUACAGGCCAAAUGGCCUUCAUCCGUUUCUGAUAUUUGACCUUGUAAAAGGCACCUUAACUCGAUCAGUGCUACCCAAUGGUCGAGUUUUUCUAAAUAUAUGAAAGUUUCAAAUAUAAUAACCAUCCAAUACCUCAACAAGCAAAAACUUUCUUUAGUAAAACAAAUGUAGUAAACCAACACAUAAGCACAAGAGUCUUUGGGCAAUGAAAGCAAGGAAAGGCAGUGGAUUCUCUACCUUCACCCACUAUAUGACAGAAGAAGCAGAAUCCAUGACUUUUUUGGGGAUUAUGACAUUUUAACUAAAGAAAGAAGGGGAGUAGGUGGCAAUUUAGGAGGUGGCUAUUUCUCAUUUUCUCAUUCUAACUUUGGCCAUUUUAAAUAGAUUUAUUCUUUUGUAAUUAAUUACGAGGCAAUUUGCUUUAUGGUUUUGAUUCAUUCUCCUUUCUUGUGUUAGAGAAUUGGAUAAAAAUGAACAGUUGUGCUACCUUUAGAAAUGAAAACUCCCUUGUGUCUUUUAUUUAACUCUCCAGCUGAUUAGUGCAAAACUGGAGUUUUCUCGUCGUUGGUUCUUUUUGGAUCUUGUGGCAGACCACUAGGCAUUUUUGUAUCUAUAUAUCUUGAUAUCCCAUACUGUUUAUUGUACUCUUAUGAUUUUUCUUGGCAUGUGUUUGCAUUGUGCUCAUAGACUGGUGAGGUUAUGAAGGUUGAAUAUCAGCGCAAAGUUUCUGUGCUGAACAAGUUGAGAAAACGCGGUGCUAGUUCUGAACAAUUGGAGAAGGCAAAAGCUGCUGUUAGCCAUUUGCAUACACGGUAUAUUGUUGACAUGCAAUCAUUGGAUACAACGGUGUCGGAAGUGAAUGAUAUACGCGACAAGCAGCUGUAUCCAAAACUUGUGGCUCUUGUUCAUGGGUAAUUUUCUAUUCUUUUGCUCUAUUUUUUUGCCAUUUUUGCAGGAUAUUUAAGAUGCCAUUUACAACGGCGUUGAAUUGGUUAUUUGAUGCUACUUACUAUGUGUAAGUGUCAAUUCGGUUUGACAUUUUAAGCUUUGAUUCUCCUUAUAACUCAACUCGUUCCAUUUCAUUCCGUAAUGUUUUUCAUCCAGCACCACUUCCAUAAUUCUAUUGAGAAACUGAACAAGAAACCCAGAGAUUCGAUCCAUAAUUGGCAAUCCAGAUUAUUAGUUUGCUGUUUUGGCAUAAAAUGGUCCACUUUCAUGCGCUUGGUUUUAAAAUCGGAUUAUACAUGAAAACCUACUGGUGCCUACUGUCUGCGCUCUGUGGGAUUAGUGGUUAUGUACUCAUGUUCAGAAUCAAAAAGGACCCUUCAUAUUUUGACUUCUAAAAUUGGGUUCUUUUGCAGUUCUUUAUGUUCGGUUUGAAGUUGAACCAGUUUUCAGCUGAACUCAUAUCAGUUUAAUGUAAAAUUUACACCCUCAUAACGAGGUUUGUUAAAAUCAGUACACGGGGACGUUCAUUGAAAUCAUUUAUGCAGAGUCCUGUAGUUAGUUCGCUUCUCUGAAUUUUUGUGAUGCUCUAGUUCUUUAACCACUUAAACAUGCCUUCUACGAGUUAUAUCGAUUUUUGCCACUAAUGACUAAUAGGCCAGCAUUUUUCCCCAUGUAUUUUAUAGCCAUAUGGUUUUUGAACUGGUUGUUCUCUUUCUUAUUUUCAAGUAAUUUGUUAAUGAACUUGAAGGAUGGCGACGAUGUGGGAAUCCAUGUGCAUGCAUCAUGAAAUCCAGCUAAGAAUUGUGAUGGAUCUCAAAUCCCUCAACGUCUCUGGGAUUCUCAUUGAAACGAGCAAACAUCAUCAAGAGUGUACGACACAGCUUUGGAACGUCGUCCAACAAUGGCAUUCACAAUUCGAAAAGCUAGUGAAUAAUCAAAGACAAUACAUCCAUGCUCUUAACAGAUGGUUGAAGCUAAAUCUCAUACCGAUUGGGAGCAGCUUAAAAGACAAAAGCUCAUCCCCUCCGAGAGUUCAGGCGCCCCCUAUCCAACAGCUUCUUCAUUCUUGGCACGAUCACCUUGAAAAGCUUCCCGAUGAAGUUGCCAAAAGCGCAAUUGCCUCCUUUGCUGCUGUGAUAAAGACAAUUAUUGAUCACCGGGAGGAAGAAAUGAAGUUCAAGGAAAAGUACGAAGAAACCAGAAAGGAGUACCUACGUAAAAAACAGGCAUUCGAUGAGUGGCAUCAGAAAUACAUGCAGCGCAGAACUCCACAUGAGGAGACUGACCCUGAGAAUGGCAUAGAAACGAAUGUCAAGGAUCCAGUAGCCGAAAAACAGUUUGUGGUUGAGAGCUUGAAA
rnacentral:lncRNA from 1 species